ACGCUGGCGGCGUGCCUAAUACAUGCAAGUCGAACGAGAGCGACCGGUGCUUGCACUGGUCAAUCUAGUGGCGAACGGGUGAGUAACACGUGGGUAACCUGCCCAUCAGAGGGGGAUAACAUUCGGAAACGGAUGCUAAAACCGCAUAGGUCUUCGAACCGCAUGGUUUGAAGAGGAAAAGAGGUGCAAGCUUCUGCUGAUGGAUGGACCCGCGGUGCAUUAGCUAGUUGGUGAGGUAACGGCUCACCAAGGCCGUGAUGCAUAGCCGACCUGAGAGGGUGAUCGGCCACAUUGGGACUGAGACACGGCCCAAACUCCUACGGGAGGCAGCAGUAGGGAAUCUUCCGCAAUGGACGCAAGUCUGACGGAGCAACGCCGCGUGAGUGAAGAAGGUUUUCGGAUCGUAAAACUCUGUUGUUAGAGAAGAACAAGUGCUAGAGUAACUGUUAGCGCCUUGACGGUAUCUAACCAGAAAGCCACGGCUAACUACGUGCCAGCAGCCGCGGUAAUACGUAGGUGGCAAGCGUUGUCCGGAUUUAUUGGGCGUAAAGCGAGCGCAGGCGGUUCCUUAAGUCUGAUGUGAAAGCCCCCGGCUCAACCGGGGAGGGUCAUUGGAAACUGGGGAACUUGAGUGCAGAAGAGGAGAGUGGAAUUCCAUGUGUAGCGGUGAAAUGCGUAGAUAUAUGGAGGAACACCGGUGGCGAAGGCGACUCUCUGGUCUGUAACUGACGCUGAGGCUCGAAAGCGUGGGUAGCAAACAGGAUUAGAUACCCUGGUAGUCCACGCCGUAAACGAUGAGUGCUAAGUGUUGGAGGGUUUCCGCCCUUCAGUGCUGCAGUUAACGCAUUAAGCACUCCGCCUGGGGAGUACGACCGCAAGGUUGAAACUCAAAGGAAUUGACGGGGACCCGCACAA
rnacentral:rRNA from 1 species